ACGGGUGAGUAAAGCCUAGGAAUCUGCCUGGUAGUGGGGGAUAACGUUCGGAAACGGACGCUAAUACCGCAUACGUCCUACGGGAGAAAGCAGGGGACCUUCGGGCCUUGCGCUAUCAGAUGAGCCUAGGUCGGAUUAGCUAGUUGGUGAGGUAAUGGCUCACCAAGGCGACGAUCCGUAACUGGUCUGAGAGGAUGAUCAGUCACACUGGAACUGAGACACGGUCCAGACUCCUACGGGAGGCAGCAGUGGGGAAUAUUGGACAAUGGGCGAAAGCCUGAUCCAGCCAUGCCGCGUGUGUGAAGAAGGUCUUCGGAUUGUAAAGCACUUUAAGUUGGGAGGAAGGGCAUUAACCUAAUACGUUAGUGUUUUGACGUUACCGACAGGAUAAGCACCGGCUAACUCUGUGCCAGCAGCCGCGGUAAUACAGAGGGUGCAAGCGUUAAUCGGAAUUACUGGGCGUAAAGCGCGCGUAGGUGGUCUGUUAAGUUGGAUGUGAAAUCCCCGGGCUCAACCUGGGAACUGCAUUCAAAACUGACUGACUAGAGUAUGGUAGAGGGUGGUGGAAUUUCCUGUGUAGCGGUGA
rnacentral:rRNA from 1 species